AUGAACGCUGGCGGCGUGCCUAAUACAUGCAAGUCGAGCGAACGGACGAGAAGCUUGCUUCUCUGAUGUUAGCGGCGGACGGGUGAGUAACACGUGGAUAACCUACCUAUAAGACUGGGAUAACUUCGGGAAACCGGAGCUAAUACCGGAUAAUAUUUUGAACCGCAUGGUUCAAAAGUGAAAGACGGUCUUGCUGUCACUUAUAGAUGGAUCCGCGCUGCAUUAGCUAGUUGGUAAGGUAACGGCUUACCAAGGCAACGAUGCAUAGCCGACCUGAGAGGGUGAUCGGCCACACUGGAACUGAGACACGGUCCAGACUCCUACGGGAGGCAGCAGUAGGGAAUCUUCCGCAAUGGGCGAAAGCCUGACGGAGCAACGCCGCGUGAGUGAUGAAGGUCUUCGGAUCGUAAAACUCUGUUAUUAGGGAAGAACAUGUGUGUAAGUAACUGUGCACAUCUUGACGGUACCUAAUCAAGAAGCCACGGCUAACUACGUG
rnacentral:rRNA from 1 species